rnacentral:tRNA from 1 species
UGUAGUAUAAUGUUAAUGCAUAUGAAAUUUUGAAUUUUAAUGGAAAACUUUAUUGUUUUUAUUACAG